rnacentral:rRNA from 1 species
GUUAUAGUUUAUUUGAUGGUCUUUACUACAUGGAUAACCGUGGUAAUUCUAUGGCUAAUACAUGCGCACGUGCCUCUUCCUCAGGAAGGGCAGUGUUUAUUAGAUACAGAACCAACCCACCUUCUGGUGGUCCUCAGGUGAUUCAUAGUAACCGAACGGAUCGCGUUAUGGCUUCGGCCGGCGAURGAUCAUUCAAGUUUCUGACCUAUCAGCUUUCGACGGUACUGUAUUGGA